rnacentral:rRNA from 1 species
AGACGAACCGUCCAAACGUUAUUCGGAAUCACUGGGCUUAAAGGGUGCGUAGGCGGCCUGGCAAGUUGGGUGUGAAAUCCCUCGGCUCAACCGAGGAACUGCGCCCAAAACUGCCAGACUUGAGGGAGAUAGAGGUGAGCGGAACUUAGGGUGGAGCGGUGAAAUGCGUUGAUAUCAUCUGGAACACCGGUGGCGAAAGCGGCUCACUGGGUCUCUUCUGACGCUGAGGUACGAAAGCUAGGGUAGCGAACGGGAUUAGAAACCCCAGUAGUCC